rnacentral:rRNA from 1 species
UACAGAGGGUGCGAGCGUUAAUCGGAAUUACUGGGCGUAAAGGGUGUGUAGGUGGUUAUAUAAGUUAGAUGUGAAAUCCCCGGGCUUAACCUGGGAACUGCGUUUAAGACUGUAUAACUAGAGUACUGUAGAGGAUAGUGGAAUUUCCAGUGUAGCGGUGAAAUGCGUAGAUAUUGGAAGGAACACCAGUGGCGAAGGCGACUAUCUGGACAGAUACUGACACUGAGACACGAAAGCGUGGGGAGCGAAUGGG